UGGGGAAUUUUGGACAAUGGGCGAAAGCCUGAUCCAGCAAUGCCGCGUGUGUGAAGAAGGCCUUCGGGUUGUAAAGCACUUUUGUCCGGAAAGAAAUCCUUGGCUCUAAUACAGUCGGGGGAUGACGGUACCGGAAGAAUAAGCACCGGCUAACUACGUGCCAGCAGCCGCGGUAAUACGUAGGGUGCAAGCGUUAAUCGGAAUUACUGGGCGUAAAGCGUGCGCAGGCGGUUUGCUAAGACCGAUGUGAAAUCCCCGGGCUCAACCUGGGAACUGCAUUGGUGACUGGCAGGCUAGAGUAUGGCAGAGGGGGGUAGAAUUCCACGUGUAGCAGUGAAAUGCGUAGAGAUGUGGAGGAAUACCGAUGGCGAAGGCAGCCCCCUGGGCCAAUACUGACGCUCAUGCACGAAAGCGUGGGGAGCAAACAGGAUUAGAUACCCUGGUAGUCCACGCCCUAAACGAUGUCAACUGUUGUUGGGGAUUCAUUUCCUAGUAACGUAGCUAACGCGUGAAGUUGACCGCCUGGGGAGUACGGUCGCAAGAUUAAAACUUAAAGGAAUUGACGGGGUCAUAGCUG
rnacentral:rRNA from 1 species